GUAAAUAAUUAUUCACUAUGCUUCGGACACAUUUUAGUCACUUUCAUGGAUGGUAUGCUGAGUGUAGAACGUGGAAAACAUAAAAAUAUCUUCAUCUGUCUUUGUAUCCAGAUACGGGUUGACAAGAUGAACCGUUCAUGGAACUCAAGCCACAUCAUGUAUUAUGGUGUGACAGGAACCCACCCUUCCAACCUCAAAAUACAAGAACACAUGUAUCAAACUAAUUUUAUAAUCGUAAAGAGGCUUGGGGACUCCACAACCUCCCUCGAGGAGGGGAGUGUGAUUGGACUGAUCAUUGACUCCUCCAACGACCUACACCUGUACUUGAACGGUGAGGACCUCGGUGUAACAGAAAAAAACGUUCCUCGACCCUGCUAUGCUGCUUUUGACCUCAACCGUCGAGUAGUAAAGGUGACGGCACUUCCAGUUUGAUGUCGACUGUUGAUAGAGUUAUCUGACUAUGUCCGCUUGCAUACAAUAAAGAAAAUGUAUCAUCCACAUUGCUGUGUAUCAUCACGAGUAUAUUUUUCGCACACCUAAUUACGGGAAUGCGGUUUGUGGUGACUCAGAGGACAACAGUGUCUGGCAGGGUGGAAGUGUACCCGUUGCACUAAACUAAAACUAAAGCUAGUCACUGACAGCAUGCAUAAUUCUAUAAUUCAGUGAGCUGUGCGAAAACGAAAGCUAAAAACUUUACUUUCGAUUUCGAUUCCCAGAAGUGAGGGGUGUCUAUUACCUACAUUAUCACACCUGUCGUGUGACUCCUGAUUAGGUGACAAUCAAGACAUGUUCGCUAGCUCUGUUCGCAGCAGAAAGAAAAUUUCAAUACCUACUGACUGUUAAAACUUCGCUGUUACUGCAAAAAGUGCAACUUCCACCACGACAGAUUCUUUUCCGGAGGAGACUGUGAGUAGUCAAAAGUCACGUGUCACUUCUUGUUGUCAAAGUGACUGUAAGGUUGUCGUAACACAUGUCAGGAGAGUUCAGUAACUAAAAGUUGUUAUUUAUUAGCUCAACUCCUUAGCUUAGUCCUUUUAUUCGCUGUAGUGGCGGCACUUCCUUGCGGAACGCGACGAUUUCAAGGGAAGCUACUUUAAGGUAUCUGUAUUUGUUUUGUUCCAAGCAUUACCUCCCAUGUUAUCACCAGGAUAGCAUUUCAUCAGUGUUUUAUCAUAGAUCAGUACAAAUAAAACAAUGUAACGAGACACUAUUCCUACAAAUCCAAGCUUUCUUAAAAAUAGGUUUGUAUAAAAUACAGAAAUAGCAAUCCGGUAGCAAGGUUUUUUUCUCCCUGAAUAUAAUCUUGAGCUAACUAUUGAAAUAUUGAACUAAUAUUCAGAAAAUUUAAGUAUUAUUUACAUAAUAGGCAGAUAAAACUGCACAUACAGAGAAGGAUUAGGGUGAAUAAAAUUUCUUUCCAUUACCACAUUCAUUUUCAAUGUUUUCCCAGCUAUAAUAUACAUGUUGUAUAGCUUAAACUGUAAUUAAAACACUACCAGAAAGAUAAAUUACAUUUUUUAUGAUCAGAUAAAGUUCAUGUUAUGCUUCGUGCGUUGUGUAUGUGUUUUUAUUAUUCAAUCUGAAUGUUUAUAUUUUUUGUCUAGCGCUAUCAGCUUGCUUUUUAAAGUGCGAUAAAGUGCUCUAUAAUUAGAUUAUUGUUGUUGGUUGUUGUUUGUUGUGGUUGUUGUUGUUGUCCGUGAUAGCAACAAAUCUGUUUGCUAGAGUUCUUUAGAUGUAACUGCAGCAUUUUGAAGAUGUCCCCGUUUUUGCACGAGACUGUCUAUGCAACAGCACGUGAGUGGGUUAUCUGUUAAUAGACGCACGAGAUAACCAGCAAGCUGGAUAAGUUGCGUAUGGGGUAAAGGUUAUUUUUAGGGUUAUCUAGUGUAUAAUGUAUCAGUCAUAAUUGCGCGGACUGACUUCAUAUCUCUAGUAAACAAAAUAAUGCCUACAGAGAACUGAAUAAUGAAUUUUGGUGUUAAAAAAAUCUUUUUACCUCCACUCUAAAAAAAUCAUGAGCUUCAAAAUAUGGAGCUCACGUGCCCUUAAUCUACAACAGAUUACAGUUUUACUUUACUAAUUUUAGAUUGCAUUCCAUGAUGGCGGGAGUGUCCAGUGAGACACAUGAACGAGAGUGUGCCGUGUGCACUAAUGAAUUCACCACACCAAAGAUUCUACCCUGUGGUCAUCUCCUGUGUCGACAAUGUGUCAUUUCCUGGUUGGACUCAAAAUCAGACGCUGGCUGUCCUCUGUGUAGAUACCCCAUAGCGAGAAACAAAAUGAGUCAGAUGGAAAUUCCGCGGAUAUUGCCGACGCCCUGCCAACAGAAUAUGUGAUGGAGGCGCUGGUGGACACCGCUCACGUGCUGGAUAAGGAGCACAUCUGUUGUGUCUGUGACGAUGCUAGGGCUGACUUCAUCUGUAUGCAGUGCCUGGACAUGAUGUGCUCAUCGUGUUACAAAAUACACAAAAAGUUCUCGGCGACCCGCAGUCACGAUGUAGAGAGUCUCAGCACUGUGACACCUGAACGUCUGGCUGCCAGCCGCCCUGCACUGUGUGCUGACCACGGCGACAAACACGCGGAGUUCUUCUGCCGCGAGCACCGCGUCCCUGUCUGCAAAUCCUGUAAGUCCGAGAAUCACAGAGAAUGUUCAAAAGUAAA